rnacentral:rRNA from 1 species
UACGAAGGGGGCUAGCGUUGCUCGGAAUCACUGGGCGUAAAGCGCACGUAGGCGGCUUCUUAAGUCAGGGGUGAAAUCCUGGAGCUCAACUCCAGAACUGCCUUUGAUACUGAGGAUCUUGAGUACGGGAGAGGUGAGUGGAACUGCGAGUGUAGAGGUGAAAUUCGUAGAUAUUCGCAAGAACACCAGUGGCGAAGGCGGCUCACUGGCCCGAUACUGACGCUGAGGCACGAAAGCGUGGGGAGCAAACAGGG